rnacentral:rRNA from 1 species
AUACGUAGGUGGCGAGCGUUGUCCGGAUUUACUGGGCGUAAAGCGCGCGCAGGCGGCCGGCCAAGUCUCGGGUGAAAGCUCCCGGCUCAACCGGGAGAGGUCUCGAGAUACUGGUCGGCUAGAGGGGAGCAGAGGAGAGUGGAAUUCCCGGUGUAGCGGUGAUAUGCGUAGAUAUCGGGAGGAACACCGGUGGCGAAGGCGGCUCUCUGGGCUCUCCCUGACGCUGAGGCGCGAAAGCGUGGGGAGCAAACCGGAUUAGAAACCCCAGUAGUCC